rnacentral:rRNA from 1 species
UACGUAGGGGGCAAGCGUUGUCCGGAUUUAUUGGGCGUAAAGAGCACGCAGGCGGUCUUUUACGUUUUGAGUGACAGGUGGUGGCUUAACUGCCACAGGCCUCGAAAUACGGGAAGACUUGAGGACGAGAGAGGGACGCGGAAUUCCAGGUGGAGCGGUGAAAUGCGUAGAGAUCUGGAAGAACACCAAUGGCGAAGGCAGCGUUCUGGCUCGUUACUGACGCUCAGGUGCGAAAGCCAGGGGAGCGAACGGG